UACGAAGGGGGCUAGCGUUGCUCGGAAUUACUGGGCGUAAAGCGCACGUAGGCGGCUCUUUAAGUCGGGGGUGAAAUCCUGGAGCUCAACUCCAGAACUGCCUUCGAUACUGAAGAGCUUGAGUCCGGGAGAGGUGAGUGGAACUGCGAGUGUAGAGGUGAAAUUCGUAGAUAUUCGCAAGAACACCAGUGGCGAAGGCG
rnacentral:rRNA from 1 species